AGGAAGAAAAGGGAAGGGAAGGGAAGGGAGGGAGGGAGGGAGGGAGGAAGAAAGGAAGGAAGGAGGAAAGGGAAGGGAGGGAGGAAGGGAGGGAGGAAGGAAGGAAAGGAAGAAAGGGAGAGAGGGAGGGAGGAAGGAAGGGAAGAAAGAAAGAGAGGGAGGGAGAGAGGGAGGGAGGGAGGGAAGAAGGAAGAAAGGAAGAAACUUCACUACCUAAUUGAAUUUGAAGUCAAAGGGCUUGGGUUACAAUUUCAGGCCUCCCUUGAUACCCAAGAUAAAAAAAAAAAAAUUAAAAUUUCAUUAAGGGUCAAUGAUUGUAGAAGCUACCAUAUCCCUAAGCAUUCCUUAAGUGAAUGAAUAACUCAUUUUUUGGAACUUGAGCUGUAUUUCUGUUGAUUUACUAUAUCAACUGACAGUAUCUUACCCUAGUCAAAGGUUUGUUAAAAUUUUCCAGAGAAAAUGAGGUGUAGGCUCCUCAUAUCACUACCCUACUCAAGAAGGCAAAAAUGCUGCUGUUCAAAAGUAUUCCUUGUCUAGGAAAUUUGAAUUCAGGAUGAAAUGUCAUUGAACAAAGUAACAAGAAUAUUUGAAAGAAAAACUAACAAGUCUGCUCCAGAAGGCUAGAGUCAAGAAAAAAUGUCAAAUGCUGGGAAAUAAACUUCAGAUCUUUCCAGAGUUGUACUUUAUCUGUAUAUUGCUCCAAAUGGCAAUAUAUACUAGAGAAAGAAGAAGGGAUUUUUGUUUUUGUUUGUCUUUUUUUUCUAAUUGUGCCAUGACUACUGAAUGACCUAGAACAGAAUGGGCCAAUGUGGAAUACUAACACACCUGAGUGUCUCUCUAGUGGCAUUCCUGCUGAAUCAAGGCUUCAAACAUUUAAAUUGACUGGGACCUUAGUGAUGAUUAAUUCCAUCAUCUUAAUGAUGACUAGAAUGUCUAGAAAAACAAAGAAAAAAAGGAAGGAAAGAAGGAAGGAAGGGAGGGAGAGAAGAAGGAAGAAAGGAAGGGAGGAA